rnacentral:rRNA from 1 species
CCUACGGGAGGCAGCAGUAGGGAAUCUUCCACAAUGGGCGAAAGCCUGAUGGAGCAACGCCGUGUGGGUGAAGAAGGUCUUCGGAUCGUAAAACCCUGUUGUUAGAGAAGAAAGUGCGUGAGAGUAACUGUUCACGUUUCGACGGUAUCUAACCAGAAAGCCACGGCUAACUACGUGCCAGCAGCCGCGGUAAUACGUAGGUGGCAAGCGUUAUCCGGAGUUAUUGGGCGUAAAGGGAAUGCAGCGGGUCGUUUAAGGCUACUGUGAAAGCCUUCGGCUUAACCGGAGUAGUGCAUGGGAAACUGGGAGACUUGAGUGCAGAAGAGGAGAGUGGAACGCCAUGUGUAGCGGUGAAAUGCGGAGAUAUAUGGAAGAACACCAGUGGCGAAAGCGGCUCUCUGGUCUGUAACUGACGCUGAGGUUCGAAAGCGUGGGUAGCAAACAGGAUUAGAUACCCUUGUAGUC